ACGGGUGAGGAACGCGUGGACAACCUACCCCGGCGUGGGGGAUACCCGCCAGAAAUGGCGGCUAAUACCGCGUACGGUUCUCUGGCGACGGGCUGGGGAAAGAAAGCAGUAAUGCGCGCUGGGAGGGGUCUGCGGCCGAUUAGCUGGACGGCGGGGUAACGGCCCACCGUGGCGAUGAUCGGUAGCUGGUCUGAGAGGAUGAUCAGCCACACGGGGACUGAGACACGGCCCCGACUCCUACGGGAGGCAGCAGCAAGGAAUUUUCCGCAAUGGGGGCAACCCUGACGGAGCAACGCCGCGUGCCGGAUGACGCCUCUUGGGGUGUAAACGGCUUUUGCCGGGGGAGAGAACGGACGGUACCCGGCGAAUCAGGACCGGCUAACUACGUGCCAGCAGCCGCGGUAAUACGUAGGGUCCGAGCGUUGUCCGGAAUUACUGGGCGUAAAGCGCGCGCAGGCGGCUCGUGAGGUGUCACGUGAAAGCCCCGGGCUCAACCCGGGAGGGUCGUGGCAAACCGGCGGGCUUGAGGCCGGUAGAGGUGGGUGGAACUCCUGGUGGAGUGGUGAAAUGCGUAGA
rnacentral:rRNA from 1 species